rnacentral:rRNA from 1 species
ACAGAGGUCCCAAGCGUUGUUCGGAUUUAUUGGGCGUAAAGGGUGCGUAGGCGGUCGCCUAAGUCAGGUGUGAAAUCUCGGGGCUCAACCUCGAAACUGCACUUGAUACUGGGUGGCUUGAGUACUGGAGAGGAGACUGGAAUUUACGGUGUAGCAGUGAAAUGCGUAGAUAUCGUAAGGAAGACCAGUGGCGAAGGCGAGUCUCUGGACAGUUACUGACGCUGAGGCACGAAGGCCAGGGGAGCAAACGGGA